UACGUAGGGUGCGAGCGUUAAUCGGAAUUACUGGGCGUAAAGCGUGCGCAGGCGGUUAUGUAAGACAGAUGUGAAAUGCCCGGGCUCAACCUGGGAACUGCAUUUGUGACUGCAUGGCUAGAGUUUGGCAGAGGGGGGUAGAAUUCCACGUGUAGCAGUGAAAUGCGUAGAUAUGUGGAGGAAUACCGAUGGCGAAGGCAAUCCCCUGGACCUGUACUGACGCUCAUGCACGAAAGCGUGGGGAGCAAACAGG
rnacentral:rRNA from 1 species